ACUGCUCUGAGACUACCGACAGCCCUGUUCUGAUUGGGAACUGUGUUAUCUGUAUGUUGUCCCUGUUCUACCACUUAAUUUGAAGGUGUCUUGCAAGGUGCAAACUGAACUCCCUGGAAACGUGAAGCCUGCACAUACAAACAUACAAGAGAGUUUUCCAGAAGCCGUGUUUUGUUUGUUGCAUCAAUCUGAGAGCACAGAUGUGUGCUUCUGAAUCCUUUUAGUUUUCUAAAAAUUUUCAAGCUUUAGAAUAUAGAUUGACACAUAGAUUUCCAGAGAUUGUCUCAGUACUUCUGUUGUACCUUUAUGAGGUUUCUCUGGUUUUACUUGUUAUGAGACUCAUAACCUCAUUGCCAACCAAUCGAUCAUUAUUUUCAAGCCUUAAA
rnacentral:lncRNA from 1 species